GGGCUGUGGUGAUACUUCCCCCCUGACAGAGCAUUGACUGUGGUUAUGAGAAAUGGCUGUUCCAACUAUGAGUGUUUUCGGGCAUUCUAAUUUGAAAACUUAAGAAUGGAACACCAAACCCAAGUUAUAAACAUUAUAUUACUCUAUAAAACAGAUAUUAUUGAGCUAAAGAAGGGGAGAAAACAAUAAUGGAAAAGGAAGCAGCUGCUAUGUUACGGGACUAUCUUGAGUCCUGGGUUUCUGUCUCUGACUGGAAGGCUGUUUUUAUCAUGACCUUCCUGGCAGUUGUUUUUGAGCUACUCCUCCUGGAACUUUGUAAGACUUGUCAUAAAAAGAUUUCAGAAAGAAAGGUCCAAAAGGAGAGCUGCUCAGAUUCUUCGGAGGAGGAAGAAAAUUCUUUUCUGAAAAACUUGGAAUAUGAGAACUGGCCACAUGCUGAAUUACCUCCAAAAAGAAGAAAGGCAACUGGAAGUCAAUCUAGCUGUUGGACCUUAACCACUUGGGCCUUCAAACAACAGGAAGAAUGGGAUUGGAAGAACCACUGAGGGCCUUCAAAAGGCCAUGUCAGUAGCCAAGAGGCUGUCUUCUUAGUCUCUGACCACCCCACAUUUAAUCUUCUUUUCAUUUUCAUUGGCUCCUUUUUUGGCAACUUAGUG
rnacentral:lncRNA from 1 species